UACGAAAGGCCCAAACGUUAUUCGGAAUUACUGGGCUUAAAGAGUUCGUAGGCGGCGCAGCAAGUCGGGUGUGAAAGCCCUCGGCUUAACCGAGGAAUUGCGCUCUAAACUACUGUGCUUGAGGAACCUAGAGGUGAGCAGAACUGAUGGUGGAGCGGUGAAAUGCGCAGAUAUCAGGAAGAACACCCGUGGCGAAGGCGGCUCUCUGGGACGGUACUGACGCUGAGACGCGAAAGCGUGGGGAGCGAACAGG
rnacentral:rRNA from 1 species